rnacentral:rRNA from 1 species
UUCUCUAUGUGGCCAGCACGCUCUUUGGGGUGGUGGGGACUCAUAGGAGACUGCCGGGGUCAACUCGGAGGAAGGUGGGGAUGACGUCAAGGUCAUCAUGCCCCUUAUGUCCAGGGCUUCACGCAUGCUACAAUGGCCGGUACAGAGGGCUGCGAUCCCGUGAGGGGGAGCGAAUCCCUAAAAGCCGGUCUCAGUUCGGAUUGGGGUCUGCAACUCGACCCCAUGAAGUCGGAGUCGCUAGUAAUCGCAGAUCAGCAACGCUGCGGUGAAUACGUUCCCGGGCCUUGUACACACCGCCCGUCACGUCACGAAAGUCGGCAACACCCGAAGCCCAUGGCCCAACCCUUGUGGGGGGAGUGGUCGAAGGUGGGGCUGGCGAUUGGGACGAAGUCGUAACAAGGUAGCCGU